UUCCACUCACACAUAAACACAUUACUUAAUAAAGUAAUAAACCUUUCGUUAAAUCAAUCUUGUUUUUCUUUCUUUAUAAUUACAUUAGCACGCGGAUUAUCAGGAUGAUGACUUCUUAUUUAUUGAUUAAAGAAUACAUUUUGCUACAUAAAAAAGAAAAAAAAAACUAAAAACUGACAAAUUUGUAUUGGUUAAAUGUUUUGAUAAAUCAAAACUUGUACAAGAAACAAGAGGAAUGUUGCGAAGCACGUCGUGGCUGUGUGCAUUGAGCUUCUAAAUUAAUUAUUUCUUCCGACGUGCAUUGAGCUUCUAAAAUGAAUAUGUAUAUUUUU
rnacentral:lncRNA from 1 species